CUCCCUUUGUUUCCCUCCUUACAAGACCUUUUGUUUAUUUCUACCUUCUCCUCCCUCAGUUAUUCCUUCUUUUCUCUCCUUCAUUUAUUCCUUUCUUCCAAAGACGGACGGUAAAGGGAAGAAUGAAAGCAGAGAGAUGUAGAAGAGUCGGCGUGACGGGAAGCGGAGCGACUGAGAAAAAGAAAAGCGGAAGAGCCACUAUGAAAAGCCAUUAUAAAGCCUAAUAGUGCGGUUUAUGAACUUUAUUAGCGGCGGUUAAUAAAAGCGCAGGUUGUGGAGUUCUCGGUGUCGAAGUGAUCCAGAGCUGCAGAGCGUUUUCACUCCUUCUUCAGGAUAAUAAGUGCUUUAACUGCUUUAACUCAGAGUCCAGCAGUGCGGCUUUACCGACACCCGGGGGCUCGGGGGCUCCUUCACACCAUCCAGCGUCCCAGCUCAGGAGAAACGUUUAUACAGAAGGACAAACUGGAACGUUUCAUAUCCGAGCCUUUGUCCCAAACGCUAGAGUUCACAUGCACCCAGCGAGUCCUUCCACCCAGUCUGUUAAUAAGCAGGUCAGCCGGACCACGUGUGGACUGUACGCCGGAGAGAGAAGGCGUGUCUAAUCAUCACACAAAGCUCAGGUGAAAGUUCAGGAAGUGUUUCCACGUGAACUACAUCAUGAGGUUCGGGUCACCAAACAAAUCACACAGAACCUCUUAUAAAGAACCGUCCGUUACUCUACACAAUUCUACACGACAGACCGCCGAUCACGUACAAAUACGUUUAAAGACGGAAUAAAUGAAUAAAAACUCGAGCAUUAAAAGUCAAGUUCUGUUUCUUCGCACUUCUGAUUAUCCCCUUCUUCAUCCGUACUUAUUUAUUCCCUCCGUUUUUCUCUUCGGGUUUAUUCACACCCGUCUCUUCCACCCCCUUUCCCUCCUCUCAUUUAUUCUCCGUCCCUCCUUACGCUCCUCUCGUUUAUUCUCUCCUUCCUUCCUCCUAUUUAUCCCUCGGUUUCUCCGCAUGUUGUUUUUCUCUGCUUGUUUAUUCCUUCCUUUCUCUCCCCUCAUUUAUUAUCUUCCCUCACUUAUUCCCUUUCCUAACACAUUCCAUUGUUUCUCUCCUCGAGUUUAU
ensembl:lncRNA